GUAGGUGGCAAGCGUUGUCCGGAAUUAUUGGGCGUAAAGCGCGCGCAGGCGGUUCUUUAAGUCUGAUGUGAAAGCCCACGGCUCAACCGUGGAGGGUCAUUGGAAACUGGAGAACUUGAGUACAGAAGAGGAAAGCGGAAUUCCACGUGUAGCGGUGAAAUGCGUAGAGAUGUGGAGGAACACCAGUGGCGAAGGCGGCUUUCUGGUCUGUAACUGACGCUGAGGCGCGAAAGCGUGGGGAGCAAACAGGAUUAGAUACCAUGGUAGUCCACGCCGUAAACGAUGAGUGCUAAGUGUUAGGGGGUUUCCGCCCCUUAGUGCUGCAGCUAACGCAUUAAGCACUCCGCCUGGGAGUACGGCCGCAAGGCUG
rnacentral:rRNA from 1 species